AUUGAACGCUGGCGGCAGGCCUAACACAUGCAAGUCGAGCGAGCGGCGGACGGGUGUGUAAUGUAUGGGGACUGCCCGAUAGAGGGGGAUAACUACUGGAAACGGUAGCUAAUAUCGCAUACUACAGGAGAACCCAUAUGGGAUUAGCUAGUAGGUGAGGUAAUGGCUCACCAAGGCGACGAUCCCUAGCGGGUCUGAGAGGCUGAUCAGCCACACUGGGACUGAGACACGGCCCAGACUCCUACGGAGGCAGCAGUGGGGAAUAUUGCGCAAUGGGCGCAAGCCUGAUGCAGCCAUGCCGAGUGUAUGAAGAAGGCCCUCGGGUUGUAAAGUACUUUCAGUCGGGAGGCGUUACCGACAGAAGAAGCACCGGCUAACUCCGUGCCAGCCGCCGCGGUAAUAC
rnacentral:rRNA from 1 species